UACGUAGGGUGCAAGCGUUUAAUCGGAAUUACUGGGCGUAAAGCGUGCGCAGGCGGUUUUGUAAGUCUGUCGUGAAAUCCCCGGGCUCAACCUGGGAAUUGCGAUGGAGACUGCAAGGCUGGAGUCUGGCAGAGGGGGGUAGAAUUCCACGUGUAGCAGUGAAAUGCGUAGAGAUGUGGAGGAACACCGAUGGCGAAGGCAGCCCCUGGGUCAAGACUGACGCUCAUGCACGAAAGGCGUGGGGAGCAAACGAGG
rnacentral:rRNA from 1 species